GUUUGUCGCGUUGUUCGUGAAAUCUCACGGCUUAACUGUGAGCGUGCGGGCGAUACGGGCAGACUUGAGUACUGCAGGGGAGACUGGAAUUCCUGGUGUAGCGGUGGAAUGCGCAGAUAUCAGGAGGAACACCGGUGGCGAAGGCGGGUCUCUGGGCAGUAACUGACGCUGAGGAGCGAAAGCGUGGGGAGCGAACAGGAUUAGGUACCCUGGUAGUCCACGCCGUAAACGGUGGGUACUAGGUGUGGGUUUCCUUCCUUGGGAUCCGUGCCGUAGCUAACGCAUUAAGUACCCCGCCUGGGGAGUACGGCCGCAAGGCUAAAACUCAAAGAAAUUGACGGGGGCCCGCACAAGCGGCGGAGCAUGUGGAUUAAUUCGAUGCAACGCGAAGAACCUUACCUGGGUUUGACAUGCACAGGACGCCGGCAGAGAUGUCGGUUCCCUUGUGGCCUGUGUGCAGGUGGUGCAUGGCUGUCGUCAGCUCGUGUCGUGAGAUGUUGGGUUAAGUCCCGCAACGAGCGCAACCCUUGUCUCAUGUUGCCAGCGGGUAAUGCCGGGGACUCGUGAGAGACUGCCGGGGUCAACUCGGAGGAAGGUGGGGAUGACGUCAAGUCAUCAUGCCCCUUAUGUCCAGGGCUUCACACAUGCUACAAUGGCCGGUACAAAGGGCUGCGAUGCCGCGAGGUUAAGCAAAUCCUUUUAAAGCCGGUCUCAGUUCGGAUCGGGGUCUGCAA
rnacentral:rRNA from 1 species